UACGGGGGGGUGCAAGCGUUGUCCGGAAUCACUGGGCGUAAAGGGCGCGUAGGUGGUUUGAUAAGGCUGUGGUGAAAGCCCGGGGCUCAACCCCGGGUCUGCCAUGGCGACUGUCAGACUGGAGGGCUCGAGAGGCAGACGGAAUUCCGGGUGUAGCGGUGGAAUGCGUAGAGAUCCGGAAGAAGACCGAUGGCGAAGGCGGUCUGCUGGCGAGUACCUGACAUGAGGCGCGACAGCGUGGGGAGCAAACAGG
rnacentral:rRNA from 1 species